rnacentral:rRNA from 1 species
AGAGUUUGAUCCUGGCUCAGAUUGAACGCUGGCGGCAUGCCUUACACAUGCAAGUCGAACGGCAGCACGGGAGCAAUCCUGGUGGCGAGUGGCGAACGGGUGAGUAAUAUAUCGGAACGUGCCCAGUCGUGGGGGAUAACGCAGCGAAAGCUGUGCUAAUACCGCAUACGAUCUCUGGAUGAAAGCGGGGGACUCGUAAGAGCCUCGCGCGAUUGGAGCGGCCGAUAUCAGAUUAGCUAGUUGGUGGGGUAAAGGCCCACCAAGGCGACGAUCUGUAGCUGGUCUGAGAGGACGACCAGCCACACUGGAACUGAGACACGGUCCAGACUCCUACGGGAGGCAGCAGUGGGGAAUUUUGGACAAUGGGCGCAAGCCUGAUCCAGCAAUGCCGCGUGCAGGAUGAAGGCCUUCGGGUUGUAAACUGCUUUUGUACGGAACGAAAAGGUUUGCCUUAAUACGGUGGGCCCAUGACGGUACCGUAAGAAUAAGCACCGGCUAACUACGUGCCAGCAGCCGCGGUAAUACGUAGGGUGCGAGCGUUAAUCGGAAUUACUGGGCGUAAAGCGUGCGCAGGCGGUUAUAUAAGACAGAUGUGAAAUCCCCGGGCUNCACCUGGGACCUGCAUUUGUGACUGUAUAGCUAGAGUACG